rnacentral:rRNA from 1 species
AGAGUUUGAUCCUGGCUCAGGACGAACGCUGGCGGCGUGCCUAAUACAUGCAAGUCGAGCGCAGGAAGCAAGCUGAUCCCCUUCGGGGGUGACGCUUGUGGAUUGAGCGGCGGACGGGUGAGUAACACGUGGGCAACCUGCCUGUAAGACUGGGAUAACCCCGGGAAACCGGGGCUAAUACCGGAUAAUACUUUCUUUUGCAUAAAGGAAAGUUGAAAGGCGGCUUCGGCUGUCACUUACAGAUGGGCCCGCGGCGCAUUAGCUAGUUGGUGAGGUAACGGCUCACCAAGGCGACGAUGCGUAGCCGACCUGAGAGGGUGAUCGGCCACACUGGGACUGAGACACGGCCCAGACUCCUACGGGAGGCAGCAGUAGGGAAUCUUCCGCAAUGGACGAAAGUCUGACGGAGCAACGCCGCGUGAGUGAUGAAGGUUUUCGGGUCGUAAAACUCUGUUGUUAGGGAAGAACAAGUUGGGUAGUAACUGACCCAACCUUGACGGUACCUAACCAGAAAGCCACGGCUAACUACGUGCCAGCAGCCGCGGUAAUACGUAGGUGGCAAGCGUUGUCCGGAAUUAUUGGGCGUAAAGCGCUCGCAGGCGGUCCUUUAAGUCUGAUGUGAAAUCUCGCGGCUCAACCGCGAACGGUCAUUGGAAACUGGAGGACUUGAGUACAGAAGAGGAGAGUGGAAUUCCACGUGCAGCGGUGAAAUGCGUAGAGAUGUGGAGGAACACCAGUGGCGAAGGCGACUCUCUGGUCUGU